rnacentral:rRNA from 1 species
AGAUUGAACGCUGGCGGCAUGCCUUACACAUGCAAGUCGAACGGCAGCACGGGGGCAACCCUGGUGGCGAGUGGCGAACGGGUGAGUAAUACAUCGGAACGUGUCCAGUUGUGGGGGAUAACCAGUCGAAAGAUUGGCUAAUACCGCAUGAGCCCGAAAGGGGAAAGCGGGGGACCUGCAAGGGCCUCGCGCGAUUGGAGCGGCCGAUGUCCGAUUAGCUAGUUGGUGAGGUAACGGCUCACCAAGGCGCGAAAAAAUCGGUAGCUGGUCUGAGAGGACGACCAGCCACACUGGGACUGAGACACGGCCCAGACUCCGUACGGGAGGCAGCAGGUGGGAAUUUUGGACAAGUGGGGGACAACCCGUGACUCCAGCCAUCGCCGCGUGUGUGAGUGGAAGGUCCGUUAGGUUAGUAAA